rnacentral:lncRNA from 1 species
AAGAAAGAACAAAUUUAAAAAUAAUACAAAAAAUAAAUUCGAACAUAAGAAGGACCAAGUGAUUUGCUAUGAGUGCAAAAAACCGGGACACUACAAGAACGAUUGUCCUCAAGCCAAAAAGAGAACAUCAAAGAAGAAGGCACUCAAGGCAACGUGGGAUAAUUCAAGCACGUCCGAAGAAGAGGAGUCCAACACCGAGCAAGUUGCUCAUUAC